GUGGGAAUAGCUCAGCAGUAGAGUGCAUGCUUAGCAUACACAAGGUCCUGGGUUAAAUCCCCAGUACCUGCG
rnacentral:tRNA from 1 species